UCCCGGCCCCGCUGCUCGGUGCUCGGCGGCGGCGGCGGCACCGGGAGCGGCGGCGGGGGCUGGGGCGCGUCGGCCCCGCAGCUGCGGCUCGUUGCGCUCCGCUACCCCCGGCCCUUAACUGCGGCGAGGUCCCGGGACGCCGCAUGUGAGCCAGGAGGGCAGCGCCGUCCCACACCGCCCCGCACCGCCCCUGCGCACCGGCACCGCACCGGAGCUCCAAAGCAGCCGGCACCGGCAUCACCCCCGCCCCGUUCGCCCCUUUGCCCCGCACCUCACCAUGAGCAACCUCAACAAGGACACCGAGCACACCAACGGCAGCGGCAACGUCGAAGAGGAGGUACGGACACUGUUUGUCAGUGGUCUUCCUGUGGAUAUCAAGCCCAGAGAGCUCUACCUACUCUUCCGACCAUUCAAGGGUUAUGAAGGGUCACUGAUCAAGCUAACUUCAAAGCAGCCAGUUGGUUUUGUGACCUUUGACAGCCGGGCUGGUGCUGAAGCAGCAAAGAACGCCUUGAAUGGCAUCCGCUUUGACCCAGAGAACCCCCAGACCUUGAGAUUAGAGUUUGCAAAAGCCAACACAAAGAUGGCCAAGAGCAAGCUGAUGGCCACGCCAAAUCCUACCAACAUCCACCCUGCCUUGGGUGCAAACUUCAUUGCACGGGACCCUUAUGACCUGACUGGAGCAGCUCUUAUCCCAGCAUCGCCAGAGGCGUGGGCUCCGUACCCGCUGUACACCACGGAGCUGACCCCCGCCAUCCCCCAUGCUGCCUUCACCUACCCAGCGGCCGCCGCCGCAGCUGCUGCUCUUCACGCUCAGUGAACUCCAGCCAUGAUGCCAGCGCAGGCUAGCCCUGAAGCUCAGAGCUGUCCCUGGAGAUGGGACAUCCUAGUGAUGCCUUAUUGCAGCUAGUGGAGUGGCUGUACUACAGCUUCAUUCCUAGAAGUGUUAAGCAUGAUGGCAGCCCCGUCUGGAAAGACUGAUGCGCUGGUAUCCUCCCUCUGAAGCUACCCAGCAAGGAUGGAAGUCUCGUCAGUUUUGUUAGUUCGUUACGUCUCUCCUCGGCUUGUGUUCCUCCUCCCUGCCUCUCCGGAGCGAUGUGCCAGGGAUGAUCAUUCAAACUCCCCUCGGUUUGGUUUGGUGACAAGGCACCCGGCCCCGGCGUGCUCCCCAGGGGCUGCCAGCAUCCCCCAUCCCUGGACUGUGAAGCCACCAUGGGCUAUGCGCCGCCUCCAUCCCUCCCUCCCUCCCCAGGACAUCCUCCCUGGCUGAGCUUUGCAGUGUGGCUGUGCCGAAGCCCAGCCUGGGGGUCUCUGUCCUGGGCUUUCCCGGGCUCGCCCUGUCCCAGUGGCUCAGCUGAAGGGAACGAAAGGCAAUGGGUUUUGCAUGUUUUCUGGCAUGAAUUAAAACACUUAACUUGUGUAUGUGUGAGUAUAAGUUUGUUUGUUCUAGCGUUUGUGUAACCGUUAGCAACAGGUCUUGGCCCAACAGAUUGACCCAUCGACGUUUUCAUCUUGCUUCAGUGAAGACUGGGCUUUGAGAAAUACUAAACUGUCCUUGUCUCACCCCUUCUCCCACCUCUGCCCUCCCCUUCCCAGUACACCCAGAAAAAUUUGAGAAAUGCUCCGUUGUUUUUUUUCCCUUGUUUUGGUUUUUUCCGAGUACAAUGCACUGGGUUUCUGUUCUCAGCCGUUCUCCUCCGCUCUCAGAGUCAGGGUUAUUCUAUUAGCUCUUUUUCUUCCUCAAACUUCUAUCUAUAGAACAGCUGUAAAAGAUCUAAACUCUUUUUUUUUGGGGUUUUUUUGGUUUUUUUUUUGUUUUCCACAUCCUUCUGCUUGGAGAGCAUCCAGUCCUGCCAAACAUCAGCCAUCCUUAUGGGAAUACCAAACAAAAAAAGAAGUACGAGUAUUUUUGUACCAUGUGUAAUAAGGAAAUAUUUAUGCAUCAUAAAGAAUUUUUUGUGUUUGUGUGCAAUUAAUUAUUAUUAUUA